GGCUGGACGGAAUAGAUCCUUUAAGAGUCGAUGGCGGAAUAUCUCCGUCAGGAGUCGCCGGCGAUUUUGUCCGUGGUUUAACAGAGUCCCAAGUAAAUCCAGAGGAAGCAAACUCGUUAUAUGCUUUGGUGACUGCGAUUUUUCUCCCUAAGCGAUAUAAAUUAUAAUUACAACUGCGCCCAACUACACCACAUCAUAUCUGCUCCUUUUUUAAUAUAUAUUAAUAUAGAUGCACUAUAUUGAUAAUCCCAUUAACAAAAAUGUCAAAAUAAUUUUUCAAUUCCUAGAAAAUUCCAAUUUAACUUAAUGGAAUCACAGUGGUGGUGAUGUUGGCCGUUUUUAUCAAGAGGAUCACUUAAACGCUAGACAAAAUUCAGCGAACAGUCGAGCAUCAGCAUCAGUGGAGCUCUCUGCACCACCCCAAAAAUGGCAUUUUAUGCCUACAAAGCCUUGACGUAUCAGGAAAGGGGAAAGAAAUGUCUGCAAUACGUUCAAGAUACUCAGAUCAAUGGGCAUCUCAGCACUUUGAUCACUCAUCUAUUCUAAUGUACAACUACUGCGUUUCAAGGAAGUACACGAAUACCUGCUUCAAUAUAAGCAUCCCUCACAGAGACGAAUGGCCCCCGACGGGCCCCUUUACAUCCUCACCAUCUACUGUGAUUAGCUGAAUUUUA